GGGGUGGAGCUUAGACAGAAUUCUAACAAUGUCCCUCUUUAAAUCUUCACUCUGCUGGGGGUUCCUCAGGGGAUGCCUGCACUGCCACAUCUCUGGGCAUCGGAUGACUGAAGGAUGACAAGAUGUGUCCCCAACCGCAAGUGCUUAUCGUGAGAUCAGGGUGGAGCUGCUGGCUAAGCAUAAAGGUGUGUCACCCAGGAUGGCAUUGACGUUGUUAAAGGAAGAUGCUGCCCACAGACAGGCCUGGCACCAGCAGAAAACGGACACCGGGGAUAGCGAUGGAUGAUGUAUUCCCAGCACUGGGGUUACAGGUAGAGAACCUGCAGGCCAAGGGCAAUGCCAAGAACUCGAAGAGUUCUUGCCAACAUCUCCAGUCUGUCCCACACAUGGGGUCGCCACAGUCCUGCCUCCUCUGGAAGUCGAUUCUCCGAUGUGGCAGUGAGAAGCUGGAUCCUGUUGCUUCCGGCCGUCUCACUCACUCAUCCCCCUUGUCUGAGCCAACCCUCAUCUCACAGUUCACUGGUACUCCAGCUGGUCCUCAGCCAACCACCCAGUGAUGUAGGAAGAGCCCGGAGGAGCGGCAUAGGGCGAGCCUCACGCGCCUGCUCGUCAACACAUCUUGUACACUCUGGGCCCCAGAACCAGCUCCUGGAAGAAGCGUUUGUACUGCAUCCCUGGAUCCCUGAUUGGGUUUGUCUCCUUUCAGAGAGAGAGCCCCAAAGAAGCAGUACUGCAUCCCUGGAUCCCUGAUUGGGUUUGUCUCCUUUCAGAGAGAGAGCCCCAAAGAAGCACCUGGGCAGUCGGUUAUGAACAGCAGUGCUGACUUUGGGGCAGCACCAACCCCACUGCAAGGGCCCUUAAACUUACUUGGUGGCUCCUUAAAAGCCAACUUUCCACCCAACCCUCCUGACGAUACCCUCUAGUUUAACAAUAGCCCGUGUUUCCUGUCUUGAAUCGGCUGACUCCAGGACCCAAGUCUUAUGUGAGAGUCUUCACAGUCCUCCCUCUGUUCAAUCAUGGGACAUCUUCCAGGACCCAUGGAAUACAUAUGAAAAGAGUGUGAACUGGGACCCGCAGUGCUAAAUGAGCGCUCAUGGACCCUGCAAAGGGGUGCCCAUGACUUGGGGAACGGUUGAGUAUCCCUCCCUCUUCCUUACAACAGCAAACAACUCUCGUUCCCUCCGUGUGCGCGACUCUUGAAUUCUCUCAGUGAGUAUAAAAUUCUUCAUAAUCAAUGAUAAAACUGAGGUGGGCUCUGCCAAUGUGAGCAAACUUCUUAUCGACAAAACUGACCUUCUGAGACUUUCUAGAGGGACAAAAGCAGGUUGGUUUUAUUCCUUAUAUUUUUAACUCUCUUGUGCACCGCAGGACGUUUGGUGACUUAACAUCAGGUAUACUCUGUAAUUAAUGGCUAGCCUAUGCAGAUUUCCAGGAUGCCCACUAGGUAGCGCUGUUGCACUGGGGGAAAAACAGUAAGGUCUUGGCACUAUAUCCCCCCCCAACACUCCCCCCUCCACCCACGCACUUUCCACCCACUACUCUCCGUAUCUAACACUUUUUUAUUUGUGUGCUGCCUGCUUCUGUACCUCCAAUGUGAGCUGCGGGAGGUGGAGCGGGAGGCGCACCCCAAUGCCUAGAACAAUGCCGGGGGCAGGGGGCACUAAAUGAAGGAGAGGCUGCCUCAGUUAAUUCCUUAAGAACUCGGUGUAGAAAGGGUUCAGACUCAACUCUAGGAGACCCCAGAUUUGGCAGACAAGGUGACCCACAUUCAGUCCUUUUUAAA
rnacentral:sRNA from 1 species